GUGAGGAAUAUUGGUCAAUGGGCGGGAGCCUGAACCAGCCAAGUCGCGUGAAGGAAGAAGGAUCUAUGGUUCGUAAACUUCUUUUGCAGGGGAAUAAAGUGCAGGACGUGUCCUGUUUUGUAUGUACCCUGAGAAUAAGGAUCGGCUAACUCCGUGCCAGCAGCCGCGGUAAUACGGAGGAUCCGAGCGUUAUCCGGAUUUAUUGGGUUUAAAGGGUGCGUAGGUGGUUUGAUAAGUCAGCGGUGAAAGUUUGCAGCUUAACUGUAAGAAUGCCGUUGAAACUGUCGGACUUGAGUGUAAAUGAGGUAGGCGGAAUGCGUGGUGUAGCGGUGAAAUGCAUAGAUAUCACGCAGAACUCCGAUUGCGAAGGCAGCUUACUAAGCUACAACUGACACUGAAGCACGAAAGCGUGGGGUUCAAACAGGAUUAGAUACCCUUGUAGUCC
rnacentral:rRNA from 1 species